AGGGAAUAUUGGACAAUGGGCGGAAGCCUGAUCCAGCCAUGCCGCGUGAGGGAAGAAGGUCCUCUGGAUUGUAAACCUCUUUUGGCGGGGGACAAACCACCACUACACGUGGUGCUGAGGGUACCCGCAGAAUAAGCACCGGCUAACUCCGUGCCAGCAGCCGCGGUAAUACGGAGGGUGCAAGCGUUGUCCGGAUUCAUUGGGUUUAAAGGGUGCGUAGGCGGCCUGGUAAGUCAGCGGUGAAAUACCCACGCUCAACGUGGGAACUGCCGUUGAUACUGCCGGGCUUGAGUUCGUGCGAGGUCGCUGGAAUGCGUGGUGUAGCGGUGAAAUGCAUAGAUAUCACGCAGAACACCGAUUGCGAAGGCAGGUGACUGGCACGCGACUGACGCUGAGGCACGAAAGUGUGGGGAGCAAAC
rnacentral:rRNA from 1 species